CCUACGGGGGGCAGCAGGGAAGAAAAUGACGGUACCUGAAGAAGAAGCCCCGGCUAACUACGUGCCAGCAGCCGCGGUAAUACGUAGGGGGCAAGCGUUAUCCGGAUUUACUGGGUGUAAAGGGGGCGCAGACGGCGAUGCAAGCCAGGAGUGAAAGCCCGGGGCCCAACCCCGGGACUGCUCUUGGAACUGCGUGGCUAGAGUGCAGGAGGGGCAGGCGGAAUUCCUGGUGUAGCGGUGAAAUGCGUAGAUAUCAGGAGGAACACCGGUGGCGAAGGCGGCCUGCUGGACUGCAACUGACGUUU
rnacentral:rRNA from 1 species